rnacentral:rRNA from 1 species
UGAGGAAUAUUGGUCAAUGGCCGUGAGGCUGAACCAGCCAAGUAGCGUGCAGGAUGACGGCCCUAUGGGUUGUAAACUGCUUUUAUGCGGGGAUAAAGUUCGGGACGUGUCCCGUUUUGCAGGUACCGCAUGAAUAAGGACCGGCUAAUUCCGUGCCAGCAGCCGCGGUAAUACGGAAGGUCCGGGCGUUAUCCGGAUUUAUUGGGUUUAAAGGGAGCGUAGGCUGGGGAUUAAGCGUGUUGUGAAAUGCCGCGGCUCAACCGUGGCACUGCAGCGCGAACUGGUUCUCUUGAGUGCGCUGAAAGUGGGCGGAAUUUGUGGUGUAGCGGUGAAAUGCUUAGAUAUCACGAGGAACUCCGAUUGCGAAGGCAGCUCACUGUAUCGCGACUGACGCUGAAGCUCGAAAGUGCGGGUAUCGAACAGG